UUAAGCUACAAAGAGCGUAGGGUGAAUAGCUAGGCACCAAGAGCCGAAGAAGGACGUGAUAAGCUGCGAAAAGCUUUGGGUAGGAGCAAAUAUCCAUUAAUCCAGAGAUAUCCGAAUGAGGGAACUCACUUAGAGCAAACAAUCUAAGUAUCCAUAUAUGAGUAAAGUAGUAUAUGAGAAGGGAACGUGGGGAACUGAAACAUCUUAGUACCCACAGGAAAAGAAAGAGAAAUCGAUUCCUAGAGUAGUGGCGAGCGAAAUAGGAAGAGCCUAAACCAUGAGUAGUAAUACACAUGGGGUUCGGACCACGAUAUAUUAUCAAUAAUUCUAAUAGAAAUGUUUUGGAAAAGCAUACCAUAGACGGUGAAAGUCCAGUAUAUGAAAGAAAAGUUGAGAUUAGUGGUAUCCAGAGUAGUACGAGACACGAGAAAUCUCGUAUGAAUAAGCGGGGACCAUCCCGUAAGGCUAAAUACUACUUGGUGACCGAUAGUGAACUAGUACCGUGAGGGAAAGGUGAAAAGAACCCCGGGAGGGGAGUGAAAUAGAACAUGAAACCCUAUGUUUACAAGCAGACAAAGCACUUUAUAUGUGCGAUGUCGUACUUUUUGUAGAACGGUCCAGCGAGUUAUUGUGUAUGGCGAGGUUAAGUAUUACGUAAGGUACGGAGCCGAAGCGAAAGCGAGUCUGAAAAGGGCGAUAUAAGUCAUGCAUAAUAGACCCGAAACUGAGUGACCUAUCCAUGAGCAGGAUGAAGCUAGAGUAAAAUCUAGUGGAGGUCCGAACUGAUUGUCGUUAAAAAGGCACCGGAUGACUUGUGGAUAGCGGAGAAAUUCCAAUCGAACUCAGAGAUAGCUGGUUCUCCUCGAAAUAGCUUUAGGGCUAGCCUUGAGGGAAUGCAUAUGGGGGUAGAGCACUGAAUGAGGUAGGGGCCUAACCAGGUUACCAAACUCUAUCAAACUCCGAAUACCAUAUGUAAAUACUCAGGAGUCAGACUGCGGGAGCUAAGUUCCGUGGUCAAAAGGAAAACAGUCCAGAUCGUCAAUUAAGGUCCCAAAGAUAUAGCUAAGUGGAAAACGAUGUGAUUUUGCAUAAACAACCAGGAUGUUGGCUCAGAAGCAGCCAUUCAUUCAAAGAGUGCGUAAUAGCUCACUGGUCGAGUGAAGUUGCGCGGAAAAUUACCGGGGCUAAGCUAUACACCGAAAUUGCGGAUUUACAUUUGAAAGACAAUGUAAGUGGUAGAGGAGCAUUCUGUAGUAGGAAGAAGCAUGACCGUAAGGACAUGUGGACGAAGCAGAAGAGAGAAUGCUGGAAUAAGUAGCGAGAGGAUGGUGAGAAUCCAUCCCGUCGAAAAUCUAAGGUUUCCCAGGGAAGGUUCGUCCGCCUGGGGUAAGUCGGGACCUAAGGAGAGGCCGAAAGGCGUAUCUGAUGGAUAGCAGGUUGAAAUUCCUGCACUACGAAUAUACUUAAAAGAUUCAAGGGACGCAGAAGUGGAAGAUAACCAAGUAAGAGGAAAAGCUUGGCUCGCAAGAGGGAGUGAAAAUUAAAAGUAACGAAGUAUCAAGAAGCACGCUGACGAGAAAAGCUUGAAGAUAUUGUAUAUAAGUACCCGUACCGCAAACCGACACAGGUAGAUGAGGAGAGGAUCCUAAGACGAGCGGGAGAAGCAUUGUUAAGGAACUCGGCAAAUUAACCCCGUAACUUCGGAAUAAGGGGUGCUGAUGUAACAGUCAGUCGCAGAGAAAAGGCCCAAGCAACUGUUUAACAAAAACAUAGGUUUCUGCUAAAUCGAAAGAUGAAGUAUAGGAGCUGACGCCUGCCCAGUGCUGGAAGGUUAAGGGAAAGAGUUAGGGUUAAACCGAAGCUUAGAACUGAAGCCCCAGUGAACGGCGGCCGUAACUAUAACGGUCCUAAGGUAGCGAAAUUCCUUGUCAGGUAAGUUCUGACCCG
rnacentral:rRNA from 1 species